AAAAUCCGUCGGCUUUAGAAAUCGUGAGGGUUCAAGUC
rnacentral:tRNA from 1 species